GACGAAUGCUGGCGGCGUGCCUAAUACAUGAAAGUAGGAUGCAGUUGCGAACGGGUGAGUAACGCGUAGGUAACUACCUAUUAGAGGGGGAUAACUAUUGGAAACGAUAGCUAAUACCGCAUACUAGUAGAUGGACCUGCGUUGUAUUAGCUAGUAGGUAGGGUAAUGGCCGACCGAGGCAACGAAACAUAGCCGAACUGUGAGAGUGAUCGGCCACACUGGGACUGAGACACGGCCCAAACACCUCCGGGAGGCAGCAGUAGGUAGUCUGCGGCAAUGGGGGGAACACUGACCGAGCAACGCCGCGUGAGUUAAGAAGGUUUUCGGAUCGUAAAGCUCUGUUGUUAAAGAAGCGGUACUUAACCAGAAAGGGACGGCUAACUACGUACCAGCCGCCGCGGUAAUUC
rnacentral:rRNA from 1 species